rnacentral:lncRNA from 1 species
UGAUGAUGUGAGACUUUGGACCUAAAUAUUUUUCAUAUUAACAAAAUAUGGGGCCUGAGAUGAUUUUUCUGGAAAGUUUGCUUGAUGGUCAAUAGAUGCAUUAUCUGAUCUAAAUCAUAUCAGACAUUGACUAAGAUUAGACAAUGUGCUAAAUCUAGGAAGUUUCUACACCGUGAAAGGCACAUGCUAAAUCUGAAAACAUGCUCUAUCAAAAGAGGUACGACCAUCUAUCUGCAUCGUCUGAAAGAAAACACAGAUUAAACAAUGAAAAACAAAGAGGAUUUAGUAUUAUGUUUAGAAUUUUCUAAAAUUAAUGAACUCUUCAAGUGAAGUUUUUAUCAUAUGAUGACAGUACCAACUACGACCCAUACUGUCAAAUAGUAAAAUCUUCUGUAGGUUUUUAUCAUAUGGUUAGCAUCUAUAAUUAUAGCCACAGAUAGAUAAGAUUACACCUACAUUGGAGUAAGGAAGGAUUAGUUAAAUGUUAGCUAAACACCAAACGUUCUAUACAUGAACUCAUUAGAGUAUGGAAGGUUUACUUAAAUGUUACCGAAAUACUUUCUGCAGUGUUUCUAACAUUUAACUUAAGUAAUCUUUCCAUACUCCAAUGUAGUAUAAUAAAUAUAGACUGAAAGAGAAAAGGGAGGGCAUUCGAUAUCAAUGAGUUCAUUUAUACAAAUCUGCAGAAAAUAUCUCAGAAGUGACAUUGAUUUUGCUAUUAUUGGGAAAAAGUAGAUAUUAGGCUUGUAAAGAAUUUACAUAGACAUUUUUCACCUUACAAGCUGGUUGUGUUAGAUCUAAUAUAAAAAUCUAAUAGCUAUUAAAAUUUGAAGAUAAUAUAAUGUAUUGUUGAGAAAGCAAGCAAAAUAGCCAUAUGGCAGAACUGAACAAAUAGGCAGGGAGGAAGGGUCAAAAGAAAACUUACCUUGGUUAUUGACGAUGUCAAAGGUCCAAGUUGAAUACGGAAACAAAUCAUCCUCAUAUCUCAUUUUCAUGUUCAGAGGUGUUUGAGAUGAUUCUCCUGGAAAUAAUUUGCCAUGUACAUUAGCUAAAGUUUCAAUCGCAUAAUUUAUUCUGGUGUUUAGGAGCGAUUGAGAUGUUUCUCCUGGAAUGAAAUUGCUAUAUACAUUAUCCGAAGUUUGAUCCCAAGACGGAAGCAUGACAGGCGCCAUAAAACCAAAACGGUUUAGAAGCAUGACUGG